UUGUUGUUUAGGCUGCUUGUGGUUUAUGUGUUAGAGUUGGUUCAUUUCAUGAUCCCAAAGAACUGCCCGGCCUUGCACACCUACUGGAGCACAUGCUGUUUAUGGGUAGUCAGAAGUAUCCCGGGGAAAACGAGUUUGACUCGUUUGUCAGCUCUCACGGAGGCAACUCUAAUGCCUGCACUGGAUACGAACUGACUUAUUACUGCUUUGAAGUUAAUAAGAAAUAUUUUCAAGAAGCACUUGAUAAGUUUGCACAUUUCUUCAUUUCUCCACUGAUAAUGGAGUCAAGCUUAGAGAGAGAGAUAGAAGCUGUUGAUAAUGGUUAAGCCCAGCAUACACUGAGCAACUUGUGGUUAGACCUUUGAUGUGGUUGCGCAACACUGGGCAACAUGUUGCAGAAAGUAGAGAGACUCAACUUCUGGCAACAAGUUGCCUCACCACAUCAAAGGUACUGGCAACAAAGUUGCUCAGUGUAUGUUGGGCUAUAGGUUUGAAAUUGUUGUUGAUUUAAAAGUCUCACAACCUUUUAAUUAUUGCAAUUAAUUUUUUGUGUAAUUUUACAACUGUCAAAUUCACAAAAUUUUAAUUCCAAAACUAUUAUGUAGGCUACUUUUGGCUAAUCAUACUGUAUUGCUUGAUUCGCCUCAAUAUUAAUAUAUUCAAUAGUGAAUUUUGUCUUUUGUUUGUUUACCAUCUUCUACCUUUAUCUGUAAUUAAUAAGUUAUUUUUUGAAAUUAAGGCCACGUUUACACUACUCCGUUUUCAUUGAAAAACGGAGACUUUUAGUCACGGAUACGGGUUUCGUUUACACUAAAACACAUGAAAACGGAUACUUAUCCGAAGACAUUUGAAUACGAAUACCUAAGCGGAUACUUUUAUAAACGAAUGAUAUGUUCCAAUGAAAACGCAGCUGCUGGACUAGUGUAAACACCUGAAAACAGUAAUAGCAAAACCUAUUCGGAUUCAGUGGAGCGGAGUAGUGUAAACGUGGCCUAAGAAGUCACCUUUUUUCCCACUGGUUGCUAUGGUAAAGCCAGUAUUCAUUAUGUACUAUCAUAACUUCCUGCCUUUAGUCUUUCUCUCCUCCUUCCACCUUCUUCAUUUUUUUGUUGUUUCAUCUGGUCAUUAGGACUCUCUCUCAUCACUCAUUCACUGCCUUCCCUUCUCCUCCUCCUCCUCUACUUUGUUUUACAUUCUCAUUCAUUAAUGUAAAUUCAUCUUUACUACUGGUUGUUAUAAUAAAGGAAUG
rnacentral:misc_RNA from 1 species